CAGCAUACAUUGUAUUGGGGUUUUCUGGAAUCUCUUGUCAUUUUAAGGAAUCAUUGUAAUUGCAGUACUUUAAAUGAAGCCAAAUAUAGACAUGCUUAUGUAUAUAUUAAAACUAUGAUAAUUUGUUUUCUUGACUGUUUUCCAGAUGACUCUACAAAGAAGUAUAACAUGAAUAGACAUCCCACCAACCAAAGACCGGGGGCAGCAGCACGCCAGCAAGACGGCAUCUUCUCUUUCCCAGCCUAGAAGCCCUGUGAGAUCGAGGAUCUUCCCCCCAAAAAACACACACACACAAGAUAUUGCAAUCAAGCUGCCACCGCUUGGUAAAAAGCUCAUGGUGCUUACCCCAAAAGGAUCAGGAGCAGAUCUUUUUUGAAUCAGCUGUCACUUCUAUAGAAUGGGAUGUGUUUUUCUAUUUUUUAUUUUUUUGUGUGUUUUUUUUUCUCCUUCCUCCUUAACCUGCGCUGGAAAUUGCUGUUGGCUUCCUACGUCUCUGUAGAGGGAGGCUAAGGAGUCUUGCGUGAGAAUGAAGCAAUUUACAAUGCAAAUAGAGGCCUCCGAAGGGACGGAUGCUGCUGCUCACUCGUAACCGCUUGGUGCACCUUAAUAGCUGGUUUUAUUUUCUGAUAUUAAUAGAUGAAUUGUUGGCCGACGCUGCCGGAGAUUACUUGCUGAAAGGGGGAAAAAAAAGUUCGGAAUAAACUUUCAAAGCAACAGAUCUCGUUUGGAUGUUUUAGCCGCGCACACACAAACAGAAACCAGGUCAUAUUUACAUGCAAGGAGGAAUCUGAGCGCGGCGAGUGUCCUGGAGGACUACUGCUCUUCGGUGCUGCCAGAAAGAUCGGGAUGUGGAGUCUGGCCAGAGGAAGACAGAGGCUGUGAGGGAAGCGAGUUGUUAUCUUUGGUUAUCUAGCUGUAUGAGUGUAUUGGUCUUCAUAAAGCUAGAUAACCGAAAGUAAAAACUCCUUCAAGAUCGCCGGGGAGCGUGUGAGAAUGAAAGACUACAACCAAGAGACAGUAAAAACCAGUAAGGUCAGGAAUAUUUAUUGAAUCUAACUUUGUUUUCGUUUUUGUUUUCCUUAUGAGUAAAGGUGGGAUUAGAGGAAAUUAAGGGGCACACAUUUGCCAAAAUAUGAAGGUGCCAGGUACUUUGAGAGGGGUUGUUAAUAAGGAGAAUUGUAUAGUGCUAAUGAGGUAAGAGGCAUGCACAGUUUGUCCUACUUCAAGGCAAAAGUUUAAAUAUGAGUUAUUUUUCCUUUCUUAGAAAGCUGCUGUAGAGGUGACUGGUACCCAGUUUAAAAAAAUGAUUUCAUAGUAUGUAGACUGAGGCUGUUCUCUUCUGAGGCCCCCUCCUCUGAAAAAUUUUAAGAUUAUGCUUGGAAACUACAUGUAUUUGGGGUUUAUAUCUGAUCAUAUGAAAUUGGACUUUCAGCAAAGUUUAUACUGGAAGGUUAAUGAUUUAUGUCUACUGAGGACAUAGAGCUAGUAGGGAAAAUGCAAAAAAAAAGAAAAAAAAGCAAAGGCUGAUUUUUAUUCUUCUAUUCAAAAUACAAGGACAGAUGCUUCUCUGUUCCAAGAGGGUUUCCUUGAGGAAGCUACUGAAGCAGAAAGACAUGAUGGAGACGAGAUCGCCUCCCCUCUUGUCAAAGUGUUAAAAAAAUGUUCUGUCUUACUCUGCGCCUAGCAUUGGAAAUGAAAGUGACAUUUACGCCACAACCCACGUGUGCGCCUCCUCUCUUUUUGUUUAAGGAUGAUCAGGUCUAUCCAGGAAACAGCUCUGGCAUCCCAAACUGAAAUAAUUAGGACGUAUAUAGACCUGACAAAAAUGGGAAGGGGGUGGGGAAUCUGAGGGUCUGUCUUGCCUAAUUGAUUCGGCUAAACGGAACGCAGGAGAUGUGAACGGCAGGACGCUCGGAUUCCCACGCUCGGGGGGCAAGUGGUAAAGCGGGCCCUGCAGCCUAUGACAGGCAGCCCUGUCGGGGGGAGGGGUAUAAAAAAAAGCAUCAAGUGCACACCAUACUCAUCUCCAUCGCUUAGAAAAGUAGAGGCAUUUCCCACCCACAGCCAUCUGCAGCCUCCCAAAUGGCAGCACCAACUGGUCUGUUGCUGCUGCAUACUGUCUGUUUCUGUUAAUUUUAUAACCACUGUUUAAACUGGCCACAAUUAAGUUUGGCUCCCUUCUUUGGUUGAGGUUUCCAAUAUUUAAGGAAAGCUUGUAGAAAGCAGUCCCAAGAAAGCUCCAUUGCUGCCUGCCCUUCAUGUCCAAUUCUCAGUCCAUACUUUUGGUCUUGUGACCACCUUUGGGCUUUUGCUUUGGGUCAGUUAUAUUUGAAAAUCUCUCUCUCUAUAUAUAUAUCAGACAUUAUCAUCACUUCAUCAGAUUGUUUACUUCUUAUAUAAUAUAUCUAGAAACUUGGCUGAAUUAUGCUAGUAGACACACUGGCAUGAAAACUAUAAAAUCAUCAACCUGUAGAAAGUUAAUCACUGACAAUAUGAUAAAAGUUUCUUCUGGUAUAGUCUCAGCUAGAUACGUCCUAAACAGCCAUUUUUAUUUAAUCUAAAAGUGACUAUGCUUAGCAGAAACUUUGGUUCUCUGAAGGUCCCCAUAGUAGUAUUUUUCAAAAAUGUCCUCAAUUUUCCCACAUGUCACCAAGCAAACAUUUGUAUAGGCAUUUAAACAUAAAUACAAACAUUGCAAUAAGAAAGUGCCCAAACUGGCCUGUUAUCUUCCACGUGGCCUAGAUUACUGACAAUCCUCAAUCCCAACUAUGCAAUAUUUCUUCAAAAGCAUUCCACUUGCCUUUGUAGCUUCAACUCCUUUUAAGACUUCAAACUGGAGAAGCCUGUAAAACCAUUGAUAGUUUCAGUUAGAAACUCUGGGAGACUUUAUUAAGGUAAAUUCUCAAUUUGGCUUUGGAACACGUGCCAAAGUUUUAUGACUGUGGUGACUGUUGAGAAGACCCUUGUUUAUUUACAUUUGAAGCACUGUUUGUGCAAACAACCUUUCAUUGUUAAGUGCCUGUAUUCCUUUCAUUUAUUUCAUGUCCAGGGGUGCUAUUUACCUAGACCCAUUGUCUACUACAAUUAACAUUUACAUUACAAAGUGUGUGGUUUUCUUUCUCAAGGAGGUUCAAUUAAGGCAAUAAGAUGUUUGCUGGGGAAACCUAUUGUUUACUGAAAGCACUCAAUGGAGUCAAAUUACUGAAGCUUUUGCCUACAUCUUGGUCUUUCAUGUAAAUAUGUUAAAUAUAACAUUUAAGUAAAAUAAACAAUAUUAUGAUUAUGUGUUUGCCAUUGUCAUAUCAAACUUGCUUUGUAUCAUACUAAUGUUACAUGACUUAUCGAUCAAUAAAAAUGCAUUUCAAUGUUA